rnacentral:rRNA from 1 species
GACGGAAGGUGCAAGCGUUGCUCGGAAUCACUGGGCGUAAAGGGUGCGUAGGCGGCUUGGUAGGUCUGGUGUGAAAGCCCCGGGCUCAGCCCGGGAAGGGCACUAGAAACUGCCAAGCUAGAGUGCCGGAGGGGAGAGUGGAAUUCCUGGUGUAGCGGUGAAAUGCGUAGAGAUCAGGAGGAAUACCGGUGGCGAAAGCGACUCUCUGGACGGCAACUGACGCUGAGGCACGAAAGCCAGGGGAGCAAACGGG